GGAUAUAAGGACAAUCUGGACUUGGUAUUUCACUCCAGCCUCCACAGGGUUAUCAGGCCGGGUAGACAGGCUCCUUCCUCACCAUUCCUUGUGCUUCCCUUCCCAAACACCCAGUUGAAGAGGACAGCCUUCCCUGACUGAGGAGGACCAUUCUUCAGCCAAA
rnacentral:snRNA from 1 species